UACGAAGGGGGCUAGCGUUGUUCGGAGUUACUGGGCGUAAAGCGAGUGUAGGCGGUGUGGUAAGUCGGAUGUGAAAGCCCCGGGCUCAACCCGGGAAGUGCACUCGAUACUGCCACGCUAGAGUAUCGGAGAGGUUGGUGGAAUUCUCGGUGUAGAGGUGAAAUUCGUAGAUAUCGAGAGGAACACCGGUGGCGAAGGCGGCCAACUGGACGAAUACUGACGCUGAGACUCGAAAGCGUGGGGAGCAAACAGG
rnacentral:rRNA from 1 species